rnacentral:rRNA from 1 species
GAUGAACGCUGGCGGCGUGCCUAAUACAUGCAAGUCGAGCGGACAGACGAGGCGCUUGCUCCUCUGACGUUAGCGGCGGACGGGUGAGUAACACGUGUAUAACCUACCUAUAAUACUGGGAUCACUUCGGGACACCGGCGCUAAUACCGGAUAAUAUACCGCACCGCAUGGUUCAAUAGUGAAAGACGGUUUUGCUGUCUCUUAUCGCUGGUUCCGCGCCGCAUUGGCUAGUUGGUAAGGUAACGGCUUACCAAGGCGACGAUGCGUAGGCGACCUGAGAGGGUGAUCGGCGACAUUGGAACUGGGACAGGGUCAAGGCGCCUAAGGGAGGCAGCAGUAGGGAAUGGUAGGCAAUGGGCGAAAGCAUGACGGAGCAAGGCCGAGUGAGUGAUGAAGGUCUUCGGAUCGGAAAACUCUGUUAUUAGGGAAGAACAAAUGUGGAAGUAAAUAUAGACGUAUUGACGGUAACUAAUCAGAAAGCCACGGCUAACUACGUG